rnacentral:rRNA from 1 species
UACGGAGGGUGCAAACGUUGCUCGGAAUCAUUGGGCGUAAAGCGCACGUAGGCGGCCUGUUAAGUCGGAUGUGAAAGCCCUGGGCUCAACCUCGGGUCUGCAGUCGAUACGAGCAAACUAGAGUGUUGCAGGGGAGACUGGAAUUCCUGGUGUAGCGGUGAAAUGCGCAGAUAUCGGGAGGAACACCAGUAGCGAAGGCGGCACUCUGGGCCGGUACUGACGCUGAGGAGCGAAAGCGUGGGGAGCGAACAGG